rnacentral:rRNA from 1 species
CGGCGUGCCUAACACAUGCAAGUCAACUUGAGGAAGGAGCAAUCUGACCUGAUGUGGCGCAAGGGUGCGUAACGCGUAAGUAACUUGCCCAAGGUAAGGAAUAACGUCGAGAAAUCGGCGCUAAUACCUCAUAAUGCAGCGGAUCCGCAUGGAUAUGUUGUUAAAGGUUUACCGCCUUGGGAUAGGCUUGCGUCUGAUUAGCUAGUUGGUGUGGUAAUGGCACACCAAGGCUACGAUCAGUAACUGGUCUGAGAGGAUGAUCAGUCACACUGGAACUGAGACACGGUCCAGACUCCUACGGGAGGCAGCAGUGAGGAAUAUUGGGCAAUGCACGAAAGUGUGACCCAGCAACGCCGCGUGGAGGAUGAAGGUAUUCUAUAUCGUAAACUCCUGUGAGAGCAGACGAAAGACAGAUUAUUAAUUUGGAUGACUGUAUGCUCAGAGGAAGCCCCGGCUAACUACGUG